CUUGCAGUCCAAGGGAUGGGUGUAGUUAGCAUUAAUGAUGAUUUUGUGGGUGACAAGUGGACAAGUAAGAUGACUAGUUCAGUUCAAUUUACCAAACAUUUAUUAAGCAUUUAAAAAUUGGAAGGUGCUCUGCUAGGCAUUGUGGAAAUGGGAACCACAAUGAAAAGGAAGUUUAGGAGUUUGCAGCCCAAUUCUCAAUUUUGAUGAGUUGGGUGAGAGAUGAUGGUAAGGAAAAUAAUGAAGAGUUGAUAAGGAGAAUGACCUUUUAAAACAGAAUUGUGACUGGAAACAGUUAGUCUAGUGCCUUAGAAUUAACAGUUUAUUUGUUUACAGGUGGCAGUAGACCCCCAUCACAGGUGGUAGCAGAUUUUCUCAACAUUCCUAUUGGAAUUUUCUUAUCUCCAUUUGCAGGAGGAGCCCCAGAGCCUCAUCCCUGUGGUAGCUAACUUGUUCUGAUACAAGCUCUUAUUCACCAGGGAGCUUUGGCAAGAGAAUGGCUGUAUCAGGAAGUCUAUCUUCACUGUGGAAAAUCAGCUUGAAGCUCGUCUUUGUUGAUGGUUAUAAACAAAUUCCAAGAUCAGAGACUGUUAGGAUUGAUGCUCACCGAAGUCAAAGAAAGACCUCACUCUAGGGAGAAGAUCCUUAUACUACAGAAAUAAAAGGUCCCAGAGACUGCAGAAUCCCUUCACAUACCGUUUAAGCCCACUUCACUUCUCCAGCACUAUCCUGAAUUUGUUUACUUUCUCAAGACUCCUUUUGGAUUACAGAGAUCAUGUUCUUCCUGUAGAUUCCUAUGGAAGAAUUUAAAAUGAGCUUGGAUCUGCACCUGGGGGUGGCAUGGAUUUCAAAGUCAUUACUUAAGGUGUACUGUCUGUAGGGUGGAGGUGGACCAAAGACCUGCUGCACCGGAUACCGGCUUCAAAUCACCUUUCAUAUUUUCUUGUUGGGAAGACAACUGUUGGAGAGUCUUCUUGUUAUCAUCAGCAAAAAAUGGAAACAGAUCAAGACAUUAAAAAUGCCACCGUGGCCAGCAGUUAAUGAUGCCUGAGUAAUGCAAGCUUUGGCAAAGGAAUUUUUUAAGACGUGUGCUUCACCAGCCAGGAAUCAGGAAAGGCUGAACUAUCCUUUUUGUCUCAGCUGUUUCUUAAAUCAAUGCAACCCCUCCAAAUUCAAGUGAAUUGAAACAGUCAUUGCCUUUUCAACUUAACUGAGUGCUUACUGUGUGUGAAUCACUGUGCAGAAUAGGGAGGGAAAAUUAGGGAGGCAAAUAAGAUGUGGUCCCGACCUUGAAUGUAUUUACAAUUAGUUUCAAGAGACAGUUUUUUUGGGGGGGUUUUCUGCUCCUAAGUGUGUCCCUAAAAUAGGAAACAAUACUGGAGUGGGUAGCCUUUCCCUUCUCCAGGGGAUCUUCCCAACCCAGGAAUCAAACCCAGGUCUCCCACAUUGCAGGCAGAUUCUUUACCAGCUGAGCCACAAGGGAAGCCCUAAAUUUCUUUAAUACAAAACAAAACUCUUAAUGUGGGUAACUCAGGGCAUCUUAAUUCCAUUUUUUUGGUCUUCUGAUAGUUAGUUCCCAAUUUAUUGAUUUAAUAUACAUUCAGUAGGCUUCAGAAGUAUUAAUACAUUAUAGUUGGAGUAAAUUUGAAUAAAUCCCUUCCCCCUCCUUAGGUGUAGACUGUAUAUUGGAGAAAUACAUUGUGUUCAUACAUUUCUUGGGGAGCUGGGAGGUGAAUUAUACCUGUUGUCUCUAUAGGCCUCUGCCUACCAUGCCCUCGGGGCCUGCCAUUCUGAGUGAGUUAUUAGCAUAGAGAAGGGAAAGGUUUGGCUCAAACUUGUGGGUGCUGCUCAUGGACCCAAGAAAGGGCAAGGAAUGUGCAAAACAGACCCAAGCAAAGGCUGUGUAUAAGAAUUUGGCCAUUUCAGUAUUCAUUGCAUUGUUGUCUGUAUUCCAUGAGUUGGAUGACUAUAUAAUUUUUCCAAAAGGUUAUUUCUGAUUUGGGAAUAGUCAUGAUUUUUCCAGUGCCAAGAUGCUAAUAUGACUGUAGACACCAAUAGUGUCUGUGGCACACUUUCGUGUGUGUGAGCCAACAAUAGACAUGUCUUUGUCUUGAGUAAUGUCCACAUCUGAAUUGAAAAUGUGCCAGCUUUUUUUUUCUUUAACAUCAUCAACAGACUUCUUAAUUAAGCUGCCAAUAUGUGCCAUCAAUAGCAUUGUGUGCUGUGUGUCAAAUGAAUUGUGUAAGUGCUGUUUCUCUCAUUUAAUAAACAGUGUUGCUCCCUAUAAAA